rnacentral:lncRNA from 1 species
GUCCUUGAGAGCCACAGCUGGGUCUCCUGCUUCCUCCGUGUGCCCCAUGGCCAUGGCUCCUUGACUUGCCUCAGAACAUAAUCUCAGAAUACAACGUUCUUUCAGCGGAAUAAAUUUAACAAGCUGGAACAUUCAUCACAUCUCUUUGUCUUCUGUUCACAAGGGGACGAGGGACCACUUUAUCAUCGUCCAUCCCAGUGUUUGGGAGCCACUGUCUGCAUCCCUUGCCAGAGGGAUGAAGUUAUCAGAAAGAUGUUCACUGAACACCUACUGUAUCCCGGGUGCCGAGGGAGGCCCUGAGGAUUCAAAGAUGGAAAACACAGCGUGCUCAUGAUGCGUGUCCUCGUGGAUUAGUCUACUGGAUCCCUCCACGCUCCUCCACUUCGUCUCCCUAGGCUAGGGGGCCGCGCAGGCCACCUCUUUAGGCAUCAGCGUCCUAAUCUGUAUAAGCCCCCUCUGUAUGGGAGCUGGACCACAGCACAGCCUUGGAAACAGACACUUGAUGGCCUCAGAAUUAAAGCUCCUCUCUGACUUUGGCCCACUGUUCUAGAACAUAAGCGAUAUCCGUG